rnacentral:rRNA from 1 species
UGCCUAACACAUGCAAGUCGAGCGAGAAAGUCCCGGCAACGGGAUGAGUAAAGCGGCAAACGGGUGAGUAACGCGUAGGUAAUCUAUCCUUCGGAUCGGGAUAGCCUGCUGAAAAGUGGGAUAAUACCGGAUAACGUUCUUGUGGGUAUCCCAUGAGAACCAAAGGGGGCGAGCGCAAGCAGCUCCCACCAAAGGAGGAGCCUGCGUCCGAUUAGCUUGUUGGUGGGGUAACGGCCUACCAAGGCGACGAUCGGUAGCCGGCCUGAGAGGGCGACCGGCCACACUGAACUGAGACACGGUCCAGACUCCUACGGGAGGCAGCAGUGGGGAAUAUUGCGCAAUGGGCGAAAGCCUGACGCUCGACGCCGCGUGGGUGAUGAAGGCCUUCGGGUUGAAGGCCU